rnacentral:rRNA from 1 species
UGAGGAAUUUUCCGCAAUGGGCGAAAGCCUGACGGAGCAAUGCCGCGUGAAGGAAGAAGGUCCGUGGAUCGUAAACUUCUUUUAUCAGAGAAGAAAAAAUGACGGUAUCUGAUGAAUAAGCUCCGGCUAACUCUGUGCCAGCAGCCGCGGUAAUACAGAGGGAGCAAGCGUUAUCCGGAAUGAUUGGGCGUAAAGCGUUUGUAGGUGGCUCGUAAAGUCUACUGUCAAAUAUCGAGGCUCAACCUCGAGAAGGCAGUGGAGUACUCACGAGCUAGAGUGUGGUAGAGGUAGAGGGAAUUCCAUGUGGAGCGGUGAAAUGCGUAGAGAUAUGGAAGAACACCAGCGGCGAAGGCGCUCUACUGGGCCAAGACUGACACUGAGAAACGAAAGCUAAGGGAGC